rnacentral:lncRNA from 1 species
GGAGGAAUGAAUUUUGAGUAUUCGUUCUGGGCGGGUGCAGCGCUUCAGGGGAUGUCAAAUGAGCAUGCAUUUGGAGUGCAGGAAGGAGCAGUGAGAAGUGAACUAUCAAUCAGUUUGUGUUUGGGCUGUCCAAGUAGCCUCUUUCUGUUUUCUGGGGGGACGUGGGCAUACUGGGCAGUACUUCUGCUGCCUGCUGGUGUCUGUGAAAUCAACACACCAUCUGUUGUUGUAGGGAUGGAGCCUGCGCGUCCAUGGAGUGGUGCUGGGCAAGGCUGGAAACGCAAAGCCUCCGCAGGUAAGAAGCUCUUGCGAGCUGUGCUGACUGCAGAAGCGGCAUAAUGUUGUAGCAGCAGAAAGGCAAGCUGAAGAAACUGCUCUUGCAGACCAGAAGUUUGUGGUUGGCUGUGCUCAAAUCUUCCGCCACAGAGAUGCUCUUCAUUUCUUUCCUGUCUCCUUUCUGCCAGAAGCUGAUGCGAGCGGCCUUCCAGCAAAGCGCAGCCUUGCAGAAAGGCAAGGCAGAAGCGCCCAGUGUGGCACAGCACCCAAGAGAG